rnacentral:misc_RNA from 1 species
UCAAUUUGACUGCGUAGGCCUUAACAAGUAGCCCAACUGGAGCCGCCCAAACGCCCUAAGAAGAAGACGCACUUUUAACAAUAUUUGUCUUUUAUAUUGCCCUCUUGGCUCUUACAUAUUAGCCUCAGAUUUCUCAUUACACUGACACGUGAAAAAAACAUUUUGACAAAGUUAUAAGUUUUGACUUAUUUGAACAGUAAUUUUUUCUUGUAAAUGGUAAGCAAAAUGUUUUGCAAAGUACACAUGGUUCGCUUCUAUAACAUAGAACCAAAAUCCGUCACGUGUUUUUCUUACGAGCCAAAAAGCAAAGUACUGGCGCUAGCAAGAAAUGAUUAUUCCAUAGAAAUAUGGAACAUUGGUAAUGCUCCUUUCAUAGAGGCAACAAUUGUUGGACAAUCUACUAGUUCUAUAGAGGCAAUGUUAUGGAUUGGUCGAAGAUUGUUUUCAUGUGGUCAAAGAGGCAUGAUUGCAGAGUACAACUUGAACUCUUUGGGGAUUAGAAACGAGACGUCUGUAACAGGUGGACCAGCUUGGUGUAUGGAUAUUAAUCAUGAUCAGACUCGAUUAGCCGUAGGCACAGAAGAUGGCUGCAUCAACACAUUUUUUGUAACCACAGAAAGUUUGAUUUAUGAGACUAUUUUUGACAAACAAAAAGGGAGAAUUUUAAGCAUUAAGUGGGAUAAUACUGGAGAGAUGAUUUUUAGUGGUUCUGCAGAUACUGUAAGAAUUUGGAAUGCCACAAGCGGUCACGCCAUUCAUAAGAUAUUAUUAGCUAGAAAAAAAUCAAGAAGAGAGACAAUAGUCUGGUGUUUAUCAGUCACCAAAGAUAACAUGAUUAUUUCUGGUGAUUCCAGAGGUACUCUGUCAAUUUGGGAUCCCAAUAUGGGCACUCUGAUAGAAUCACACAAUAGUCAUGCUGCUGAUAUACUUGCAAUGACUCUGUCAGAUGACAAAAAUGUUAUAUAUUGCGCUGGAGUCGACCCUGUGAUCAGAACAUUUUGUAGGAUAAACAACAAAUCUCUCGGCAAAACUCAAUGGCGCAGAAGCAUUGAGAGAAGAAUACACAUUCACGAUGUGCGUGCGCUUGUUGAGACGAAUGGUAAACUGUACUCUGCUGGAGUUGAUGGUUACCUAGCGUAUUCCAGUUAUCCUCCUAAAAUUUUGGUCAAAUAUCCACCUCUACUACAAUCCCCUGCUGCUCACGUGUGUUCUAAGUCAAAAUGCAUUUUACUAAGAUAUCAUAAUUAUUUGGAAUUGUGGAAACUGGGAUCAAUAGAUGUUAGUUUGAAUAGUGUGGUAAAUGCUGGAGAAUCUUAUCAUUUAGAUCAAGUACCAGUCAAAUUAUUAGAACUAAGAACUAAGUUGGGCGAGAACAUAACUGCAUGUGCUACAACAAAAGAUUCAAGAAUAAUUGUAUAUUCUACAGAAAGUCAUCUAAGGGUAUUUAACUUUAAUCUAGUUGAAGGAGAGACUCAUCUUUGCAAACAGCUGAGUGAUAUACCCAACAAGAGGGUUCAUAAAAUGAUUUUCAGCUCAAACGAUGAACUGUUUGUUACUGCUAACAAUGAUGGCCAGGCAAACGUAAUUUCCUUAUAUUCUGUAAACAAAGAAUAUGAUAUCAGUUUCUUGGGAUCUUUCUCAACUGAUGGGGAAAAAAUCAAAAGAGUUGGAUUGAUGUGCAUUUCUUCAGAUAACAAGUAUUUAGUUUGUGCUGAUUCUGCAAGUCACAUAGUAGUAUAUAAUAUACAAGGUGAUCUAAGCACUGAAUCUUUAAGUAGAUGGUCUCUUCUAAAAUAUUCUUGCCCACCAACUGCAAUGGCCAUACAAGAUGAUACCCAUAAUUUAGUUAUUGUUUACUCCGAUCAUAAGAUUAUUGAGUACAGUAUUUCGAAAAACAAGUAUACUACAUUUUCAAAUAGCUUACAAGGACAUUUGCCUGCACAGUGGCUAGCAAGACCUUUCCCUAUUAUCAAUAUCGCAUUUCAUGCACAUAAUAAGGAUAUAAUUAUAUUACAUGACGAUACAACUAUUUUUGUCAUGAAUAAAUCACAUGGUCUUCCAAAUAUAUUGGCAAAGAUUCCAAAGUUAGAGAAUGGUGACAGUAAAGAAGAAAAUAGUGUCAAAUCUGGUUCAACAAGCGCUCAACAUGCUAUACAAGUAGUAAAAAAGUCUAAGCACUUGGCACAAUUAGCAUGGUUAAAAAACUCAGAAUUGGUUGCCGUUGAAGUUGAUCCAAUUUCAUUAGUGGAAAAAUUACCCCCUACCCUUAAGCAAAAAAGGUUUGGCAUAUAAAUUUUACUUUUUGCGUAAGUGUCAAAACCUUGCUGAAGAUGGUACUUAUAACAACGUUUUUACAUAAUAAUUAUAGGGCCUUUCUUAACGUGGUGUGUAAUUGAGUUUAUCGCUCCUGAAAAUUAAGAAUGAGAACUUAUCUACCUUUAUGAUGCGAGUGAAUGUACGGCUAGGUAGCUCAA